CUUUCCCUAUUGCAUAAUUCGGAGUUCCCCUCUCAGUUCCGCUGCGGCAGGGUUGAAAGUUGAAACCACCGUCGUCGAGAAGUUUCCGAUCGUCUCAGGAUCAUGGAGGGUUUUAGUGUGGACGAUUCCUCGAAUCCCUUCGCCCGCUUCGCAUUCACAGGCAAAGUUGAUCCAUGGAAGCCGGGAUUUGCUACCCGUACGGCACCAUCCAGGCUUAUACCUGUUAAUAGUAACUACAGAGCCAACAUACCUCCUCUUUCGAAGGGUGUGGUUAAGAAAAAGCGUGUGGGUGUAGUUAAGAAAAAGGGUUCGGAUAAGAAAAAGAGCGUGGAUGAGAGAAAGUCAAAACCCAAACCUCUUAACGCUGGUGAGAAAAAGAAGGAUGCCUACAAAAGAAAAGCUCCGAAUAAUACUUGGAAACCUCCACGAUAUGAGCCUCCUCUUAUCCAAGAGGAUCAUACUCAUGAUCCUUGGAGGGUGUUGGCUCUUUGUAUGCUGCUAAAUCGUACCAGUGGAAAGCAGGUUAGAGGAAUUAUUUCAAAGUUUUUUGAUCUGUUCCCAACACAAACAUGCAUUCAAGUCCCUUCUAAUGUAUUGGAAAAGGAAAUCAGAAGUCUAGGUUUCCAACACGAAAGGACAAAAAAAUUAAAACGCUUAUCUCAAGAGUAUUUAGGAAAAAGUUGGACACAUGUGCACCAACUAUAUGGUGUUGGCAGGUAUGCAGCUGACGCAUAUGCUAUAUUUUGUAAUGGGAUGUGGAAUGAUGUGAAGCCGGAGGAUCAUAUGCUAACUCGUUAUUGGGAGUUUCUUUGUGAAACGAGGGGCAGUUGAUGGAGUGCCUGUGUCUCUUGGGAAGACACCUGCAAUUAUUUUGAGGUGCACAUGGCUAUGGUUUUGAAGCUUAGGUUGCUGACUUGUAGAUCUUUUAUUGACAAAUGAAAGUAGGAACUCUUGAAGAAUUUUAACUCUGGUUCAUGUAAAGCUGAUGUUUUUGGUGGUUGACUUGGAGAAUGACUAUCUAGUGGACUUUUAUUAGACUUCACUAAGGGUAAUGAUCAUCAUCAUCAUCAUCAUCAAGAUGCGCAAGAACCGUUCGAAAUAAAAUCGGCUGUUUCCUUUCGAAAACGCUAGAUGAAAAGGAGAUUUCUAGACCACCAUCCAUUUACCGCAAUCAGUAUUGAAAUUAGAAGGCUCAACCACAUGCAGCCAUUGCCUAUCUGGUUGUCUGAAAUGGAAUGCCCGAAGUCACAGCAUCUAAACCCUAUCUACGUUGCGGUGAAUAAAGGAAUUUGUACGUUCCCAAAUAACAAUCAGGCCCAAAGAUUGUGCCUCAUUGGAUCGGUCUCCUUGUUUACCAUAUUACUAGUAUAUCGUGCUGGGUGAAAAUAAUUGUUUCAUAACAUAAUGAUUAUUAAUGUAUGAGAUUAUUUAUUUUUGAA